rnacentral:rRNA from 1 species
GACGAACGCUGGCGGCGUGGAUUAGGCAUGCAAGUCGAACGGUAGGAUCCUUUCGGGGAUCUGAGAGUGGCGAACGGGUGAGUAACACGUAGGUGAUCUACCCUCAAGACGGGGACAACCCAGGGAAACUUGGGCUAAUACCGGAUGUGAGCUAUCGCGAGAUAGUUUGAAAGGUGGCUUCGGCUGCCGCUUGAGGAUGAGCCUGCGUCCUAUUAGCUAGUUGGUGAGGUAACGGCUCACCGAGGCAGUGAUAGGUAGGCGGCCUUAACGGGUGGUCGCCCACACUGGGAUUGAGAUACGGCCCAGACUCCUACGGGAGGCAGCAGUCGAGAAUAGUCUACAAUGGUCGAAAGACUGAUAGUGCGACGCCGCGUGAACGAAGAAGCCUUCGGGUGUAAAGUCUUUAUAUGUGAGCAGUGACACCCAUAUUAAUAGUAUGGGUGUAGAGAUAUUAGCAUAUGAAUAAGCAACGGCUAACUCCGUGCCAGC